GGGAGUGUGGCUCAGUGGUAGAAAGUGUGCUUAACACGUACAAGACCUUGGGUUUAACCCCCAGCACUUUUC
rnacentral:tRNA from 1 species